GGAAGUUAAGAAACUGUUUCUUAACUGUUAACUAAAAAAUAUAAAGAACCGGUUCUUAAAUAAAGACUUUAAGAACCGGUUCUUAACUUUUUUAGUUGAAAGUUAAGAAACAGUUUCUUAACUUUU
rfam:Brassica napus, WGS project CCCW01000000 data, contig: 11290